GAUGCUAAUACCGCAUACGUCCUACGGGAGAAAGCAGGGGAUCUUCGGACCUUGCGCUAAUAGAUGAGCCUAAGUCGGAUUAGCUAGUUGGUGGGGUAAAGGCCUACCAAGGCGACGAUCUGUAGCGGGUCUGAGAGGAUGAUCCGCCACACUGGGACUGAGACACGGCCCAGACUCCUACGGGAGGCAGCAGUGGGGAAUAUUGGACAAUGGGGGGAACCCUGAUCCAGCCAUGCCGCGUGUGUGAAGAAGGCCUUAUGGUUGUAAAGCACUUUAAGCGAGGAGGAGGCUACUUGGAUUAAUACUCUGGGAUAGUGGACGUUACUCGCAGAAUAAGCACCGGCUAACUCUGUGCCAGCAGCCGCGGUAAUACAGAGGGUGCGAGCGUUAAUCGGAUUUACUGGGCGUAAAGCGUGCGUAGGCGGCUUUUUAAGUCGGAUGUGAAAUCCCCGAGCUUAACUUGGGAAUUGCAUUCGAUACUGGGAAGCUAGAGUAUGGGAGAGGAUGGUAGAAUUCCAGGUGUAGCGGUGAAAUGCGUAGAGAUCUGGAGGAAUACCGAUGGCGAAGGCAGCCAUCUGGCCUAAUACUGACGCUGAGGUACGAAAGCAUGGGGAGCAAACAGGAUUAGAUACCCCGGUAGUCCAUGCCGUAAACGAUGUCUACUAGCCGUUGGGGCCUUUGAGGCUUUAGUGGCGCAGCUAACGCGAUGA
rnacentral:rRNA from 1 species